rnacentral:rRNA from 1 species
CGGGAGGCAGCAGUGGGGAAUAUUGCACAAUGGGCGCAAGCCUGAUGCAGCCAUGCCGCGUGUAUGAAGAAGGCCUUCGGGUUGUAAAGUACUUUCAGUCGUGAGGAAGGGGGUAUCGUUAAUAGCGGUAUUCUUUGACGUUAGCGACAGAAGAAGCACCGGCUAACUCCGUGCCAGCAGCCGCGGUAAUACGGAGGGUGCGAGCGUUAAUCGGAAUUACUGGGCGUAAAGCGCAUGCAGGUGGUUUGUUAAGUCAGAUGUGAAAGCCCGGGGCUCAACCUCGGAGUUGCAUUUGAAACUGGCAGGCUAGAGUACUGUAGAGGGGGGUAGAAUUUCAGGUGUAGCGGUGAAAUGCGUAGAGAUCUGAAGGAAUACCGGUGGCGAAGGCGGCCCCCUGGACAGAUACUGACACUCAGAUGCGAAAGCGUGGGGAGCAAACAGGAUUAGAUACCC